rnacentral:rRNA from 1 species
UACGGAGGGAGCUAGCGUUAUUCGGAAUUACUGGGCGUAAAGCGUACGUAGGCGGCUUUGUAAGUAAGAGGUGAAAGCCCGGAGCUCAACUCCGGAACUGCCUGUUAGACUGCAUCGCUUGAAUCCAGGAGAGGUGAGUGGAAUUCCGAGUGUAGAGGUGAAAUUCGUAGAUAUUCGGAAGAACACCAGUGGCGAAGGCGGCUCACUGGCCCGGAACUGACGCUGAGGUGCGAAAGCGUGGGGAGCAAACAGG